AAGAAAACAAACCAAGCAAAGAAAAAAAAGCAAAGCAAAAGAGAGGAAAAAAAAAAGAGAGUCAAUGAGAAACUUUGAGUGAAAGUCUGUGAGUGUUUUGAGAGCAAAAGAGUGUACUAUCUAAAAGUAUUCAUCCUUUGUAAAUUUCUUAAUAAAAGCUACUUUCUUCCAAGUGAGUAUCUCUUAUUUUGUGCCAAUUUCUUCAACAAGCGGUAUCAAAGCCAAGCUUGCGGUGUUGGAGCUCUUUAAGAUCAAAUAUAGUUUGGGACUAUGAAGCUUGUUGUCUAGGAUACGGCUAAUCGCAUAGUGCAUUCAACAUUACAUGAUGAUGGGAGACCUUCAAGUCGAAGGAAUCAAGAAGCUUAACACCCAAAAGUAUAAAGCAUGGUCCACAUGCAUGAAGUCAGAUCUCCAAGGUCAAGACUUAUGGAAUGUUGUAGGAGGCACAAAAGUUAAUCCACUUGAGGAUGUUGCUUUGAAGAAAUCGAAUAUCAAGGCACGUAAGGCAAUGUUUGCAAUUAAAACUACAAUUGAUGAAGAAAUGUUAGAGCACAUUAGUAUUAUGGAGACACCAAAGAAAGCAUGGCACAAGUUUGCCUCACAUUUAUCAAAACAAAAUGAUGCAAGAUUGCAGCUUUUAGAAAACAAGCUCUUAUUAAUUGCUCAAAGGAAGAUGACUAUCAACCAAUAUUUACCAAGCCAAAAAGCAUUGGCCAAGCAAAUGUUGGAGGUCACAAUAAAAAGCAACAAUGAAGAAGCGUUCUUUCGUCGCUAAAGAAAAGGUCAUUCAAAAUUUCAAAAGAAGCAGGGUCAAAAGGAGAUGAGGAGACUCCAAAAUGCCCUCAAGAAGGGGAAGCUAGUAAAAAUGAUCGUCAACACAGCCAUAGAAAGAAGAGUGAAUGCUACAACUGUGGAAAGAUAGGUCACUAUGACAAAGAAUGUCGUCAAAAGAAGAAGACGGCAGAAAGCAACGCAGUCACCUCCCAAGUUGAGAGCAUUAGAGAAGAAGGAUGAGAUGCAGAUUGCUGUGAGAUGACAGAUCCCAACCCCCAAUCGACAUCCAAUGUAAUGGAGAAUGAAGAGUUGGCUCUCCAUGCAGAAGAGGUAAAUUAUGCAAAUGAUUGGAAUGUUGAUUCAAGAUGCUUUAACCAUAUGACAGGAGAUAAGCAAAAGCUGCAAAACACAACAGAGUAGAAGACGGCAGAAAGCAACGCAGUCACCUCCCAGGUUGAGAGCAUUAGAGAAGAAGGAUGAGAUGCAGAUUGCUGUGAGAUAACAGAUCCUAACCCCCAAUCGACAUCCAAUGUAAUGGAGAAUGAAGUGUUGGCUCUUCAUGCAGAAGAGGUAAAUUAUGCAAAUGAUUGGAAUGUUGAUUCAAGAUGCUUUAACCAUAUGACAGGAGAUAAGCAAAAGCUGCAAAACACAACAGAGUACAAAGAAAGCUGAGUUGUUGUAACUACAAACAACUCAAAGUUUCCAAUAGCCCACAUUGGCAAAACUCUCGUAAUGCCUCGUUCCAAUUCCAAUCAAGUGGAAUCGGAAAGCAUGCUUUAUAUGCCUGAAAUGUAGAAGAAUUUGUUGCCAAUAUCUCAAUUGACAUUUGCAGACAAAUUUGUUGUGUUUGGACCAGAUGGUAUCAAGGUCUACCAAGAUCUGAAAGUUAGUGGCAACCUAUUGAUGGGAGGACGAGAAAUGGAUUCCAUCUAUAUCAUGUUAGCAGAAGACGCUUAGAUGGAUAAGCAAAGGCAACCAAUGACAGAGUGCAUUGAUCCAUUGAUGAACGAUGUCAUACAGUUAAUGAAGUAUUAUCAUAGAAGGUACUUGAAUCAGAAAAGACACCAAAGGAUGAGAGGUCUUUUGAAGAAGGAUCCAAAGAUGAGAUAAGUCGAGUAUAACAGGAUCCAACAGAAGGUAAAGAAUAAAAUGACGAAGGUGAAGAAGAAAAUGACAAAGGCGAAGAACAAUUAAGGACACAAAGUCCUUGGCAAAGUGGAGUACAUAAUAAAAAAAACCAGUUACAAAGAUCAACCAAACAAAGAAUACCAAAUUCUAGGUACAUAAAUUGAAAGUUUAAAGAACCGACAACAUACGAAGAAGUGUCACAAAAUAUCCGAUGUAGAAAAGCCAUGGAAGAAGUGGACACAUUGAGAAUACAUAGACGUUAGGACAAAGGGCUAGAAUGCUAAGUCCAUCCAAGCAUGCAAAGUGCUAGAAGGCUAGAAUAGUUAAUGUAGAGGGGGAGUGCUAAAUAUAUAGCAACACUAACUAGUCUAGAAGAGUCUUGAAGUAUCCAUAAUAUGUCAUUAGUGUGUAAAUUAGAUUUUCUCUAGAAUUAUGUUAAAAGAUGUAAAUGAAUAUCUAAAAGAAAAAAUCUAGAAAUAUCCUAAAUUUUAUUUAGGUUAAGGAAUUCUACAGAGUUCCUUUAGAUAAGGAUGAGACUAAGAAUAUCUAGAAUAGUUAGAAUUCUAGAGAAAUCCUUGACUUGGGUUCCAAGGAUCUGACACCUAUAAAUAAGGGUUGUGUCUUCAUUUGUGAACAAAGCAAAGAAAGCAAACCAAGCAAAAAAAAGAAAGCAAAGCAAAAGAGGAAGAAAGAAAGAGAGUUAAUGAUGAACUCUAAGCGAAAGUGAAUGAGUGUUCUGAGAGUAAAAGAGUGUUCUCUCCAAAAGUAUCCAUCCUUUGCAAAUUUCUUAAUAAAAGUUUCUUUCUUCCAAGUGAGUGUCUUUCUUUUGUGCAAAUUUCUUCGACAUAUACAUAGUCAUAAAAAAUGUGUCGUAGAAUGAGCAUAUAUGUGGUGAAAUAUAAUGAGUGGGUAGUUUCUUUUGCAUAACUGAAGCACAAUUUAAACUCCCGAACAACAUAAUCCAUAGGGUUAUAUUUACCCUCCUCAGGAUUUUAGAUUUGCUAAGGCAUUUUCCCAAUUGUAGAUCCAUCAAAGAUGCAGAAGCUAUGCGCUUUGUAAGUGACUUUACUUUAAAAACCCCAUGAGAUUCUAGUGACCAGCUUCUUUUAUCAUGUGUUGGAUCAUCGAUUUCAAUGAAAUGUAUCAAAGCUCUCCAAUUUUCA